UUCCAUCUGAGUGGGAUCCUCUGCGCUCGCGUUUUGGUCUGGUCUCCCAGUUUAGCGCCUGGGAAACACACUGAAUGAGGUGACAGUGAGCCCCAAGCAAGUCCCUCCCUCUGUUCCUAAUGAGCUGAUUGAUCUCUGGCAACUUACCUUCCUGGCCUUCCAUUUUGUUUCCUGAAAAAAAGAAAAGACGACAAUCAAUGUUUUGCACACUGUGCUCCGUAGAUCUCCAAAAGGAAGGAAGAAGAAAGAGAGGGAGGGUGGAGGGAGGACCCCGCAGCAGUCAGGAGCAGUCAGACUUCUCACUGCUGCAAUAGUCUGUGCUUAAAGGAUCACAUAUUCUAGUGCUCAGGGAGGGCCUUUUCCAGAAGUAAUCAUCCUCAGAGGCUUCAUGAGUUUCUUUCCUCCCUCCCUGUUGUUAACGUGCAGGAGAGAGCAGGCAGCGAGCAGACGGGGCCAAGGGGAGCUGGCUUUACAGCUUGGUUUGUGCAGUCGAGAAGCAGAGCAUUGGGCUGAAGGACCUGUGGAGACUCCUUCCACAUCGUAAUGACUGAAGUAGCUGAAAGGAGGGCUGGAGAACUGUUUCAUCUUUUCUGCACCCCGGCAUGCCUGAGACUGAGGAGGCAGAGAGACAUCUAGAAGGAAGAUAUCUGCCACCCCCAGAGGUGGAAGGACGAUUCCACACGGAGCGUAAUGCCUUGCACUCAGUAGAUAGUCAAUAAAGGUUGAUGGAGGUGACAGGAACAAAAUGGGCUCUAGGACGGAGUCACUACAGGGAGGUCUGCAGGCUCACUAGCUGACUCUGCUGUGGAGCUGGGGGCUCGCUGCUUCUCUGAUCCUGGAGGACGCUUCUCAGGUUCGUAUGUCAACCUAAAGCACUGAAAACAGCUCAGAAGUGGGGGGAACUGCAGUCUACUAGUUUAAUUUCCCCACCUUGCAGAGAGAAAAAAAAAACAGCCUUAAAAGGAAACAAUGUAACAAGUAACGAGCGCCCUGGCUCCUUUGAGAAAUGUCUGACAUGACAUCGAUGUUGCAUUGGGGACAACUGCAAUCACACCUUUCCUACUUGGAGACUUGCUGAAAUGGGGCAGAAAACGAAAUGGGACUGAGAGGGGCUGUCCUGGAAGCCCCCUCCUCACGAAUAUCUGUUAUUUAUGAGGGUAUCAGAGCUCAAAAAUGCUCCAAGUUCACAGUCCCACUUUUAUCACAGAAAUGAUGGGCAGGGAGGAGGCAUAAAUGUCUGCUUAGAAAAUAAAAACCGAACAUCAGAAUCAGGAGAAAUGGCCAUAAAUUCCCCCUGAUGAGUGGUGUAUUUGAUCAAUCAAUCAGCUUUGCAGAACAGCCAUGUCACCAGCAACAGCCAUCCACUUCCCUGGGACCCAAGGCACAGCGAGUGAGCCCAGGCACCCCUGAAUGAAGAGCAGGAUGCAGAGCUGUUCCUGAGCCCCAUCCACACAAGAGCAGCUUCCCUUCCCCUGCGUCCCACUGAAGACCUCCCUCCACCACCACUGCUCUGCCCAGCCCAGGCCACAGGGAUGGGAGAUCUCCCUCAGGCAAGGCAGCAGUCUUGAAACCCCACACCAGACACCAGGUGAGAAGAUGGAACGAGGGACCAGGCAUGGCCAGGAGACAGUGCUCCCCUAGGCAGGCAAGAGUGCUCCUGACCAGGAAACAGAAGUCAGGCAGGACAAUGAGCAUCUUGAGGAGGGACUUUUUCAUGGGAAAAGGAACACCAGAGGCCUAAACUCUGAAAAUAUCCCAUUGGUUUGUUUUUUUUGACUGGGACAAAGACUUAUUUUUAUUGACAAGGAAAAGUGUGUGUUACAUUUAAUCAAAAAAAGCACGUUGGAGAGCAGCAUUCUUUAUGCAGAUUAAAAGCAAACAGUCUAUUCAUUUGAUUUGCUUUUUCCCGUUGGUUUGCUAUUAGGAGAAUCUUCCUUGGCCAUUUUGAGAAAAUGUCUCAUGUCCCUCCCAUGGAAUCUGGAUUAAGAUGUAGUGUUAUUUCUGCCCAUGUUUCCUUACUUUCUAUCACCAAAAGGAACUUAUCGAGAAAAACAUGCUGGCGAAGAUGUGAAGAAAAGGCAACUCUUAUGCACUGUUGGGGGGAAUGCAAACUGGUGCAGCCACUAAGA
ensembl:lncRNA